UGUCUUCGAGAACACACCCAAGAUUUUGUGGGAGGAGCAACAUGGCUGCCUCGAUGAACAUGUUUAAACUGAGUAGUUUGCCCGUGCCAAAUAUAGUUUUUAAUAUGAGGAACGUCGCUAUGAAACUCUUCGUAGUUACGUUUUUACUCUUUCUGACAAGUCGGUGUCAGGGUGACGAUGGCUUGGAGUUGGAAGAAUUUCUGAAGAGGGAAUAUUCACUGACAAAACCUUAUCAAGGUGUGGGGUCCUUCAGUUCGUCCCACUGGGACCUAAUGGGUACGGCAAUGGUGACACCUGACAAUGUGAGGCUCACCCCAGACCUUCAAAGCAGAGUUGGAGCAGUAUGGGGCCGAAUACCUUUUUUCGUACGCGACUGGGAGCUACAGGUGCAGUUUAAAAUUCACGGCCAAGGCAAGAAAAACCUGAAUGGCGACGGGAUGGCUCUGUGGCUGACCAAAGAGAGAAUGCAGGAAGGUCCAGUUUUUGGGAAUAUGAACCAGUUUACCGGGCUUGGUGUGUUUGUGGACACCUACCCCAACGAGGACAAAAGUCAUGAGAGAGUGUUUCCGUACAUCUCAGUGAUGGUGGGGAAUGGUACUCUGCCAUAUGACCACGACCGUGAUGGCAAGACCACAGAGCUGGGUGGAUGCACAGCCCUCGUGCGCAACGUCAACCACGACACCUUCCUCCUCAUCCGAUACAUGAAAAACAGAUUGACCUUGAUGAUGGACGUUGAUGGGAAGCGAGAGUGGCGGGAAUGCCUGGAUGCGCCGGGAGUGCAUAUGCCACUGGGGUACUUUUUUGGGGCCUCCUCAGCCACAGGAGAUUUAUCAGAUAACCAUGACUUGAUCUCCAUGAAGCUCUAUCAGCUGACGGUGCAGAGGACCGCUGAGGAAGAAGAGGACCAGCAGGAAGUGACCAUCCCCAGUGUCGACUACAUGGAGCUUCCCAAGGUGGAGGUUGAGGAGGAGGGCAUGGGCGCCGUCGGUCGCUUCUUCGCCUUCCUGUUCUCGGUGGUGGGCCUGUUUGUGCUGAUCGUGGUGGCCAUUCUGCUUUACGGCCGCUGGAAGGAAGGCCGCCGCAAGCGCUUCUACUAAAACGGAUGAGCAGAAAUAAAUCUAGGGUGUGUGUGUGUGUGUGUGUGUGUGUGUGUAUGCGUGUGUGUGUGAGAGAGAGAGAGAGAAAGAAAUAGAGGACGACUAUGAGCAUCAGUGGUGUGUUUGGUGUGAGCUGACUGGUGAGACCGACCCCACCUGUGCUCCGCCAUAAAGCCUUUACAGUACCUCAUCCCCACGGCCAGCUGAACGUGCACCUCGGAGAUUACCUCGCCAUUUGGUCAUGAAGGACUUGUCUGAUCAAACACGUCAUUCAGAGCCUUCCCUAAACCCACUCGUGAAGAGUAGUGAACUGUGACUAAAACAGAGCGCUCUUUGGACCUUAACCAAGUUUUUUCCCCCCUUUUUAGUGGCCCUGUGAAUGCUGUGUAAUUGCACUGGACACGGACUGUAUGUGGUCUGUUGGGAGGCACAGAGUUAAUAUCUGCACAGACGUUCAGUACUUUACAGCAGAAGAUCAGAAGAGUGAAAAGAAUUUUUUUUUUUAUCCCUCAGCCUUUUCUACUAGAGAUCCCCAAAUCUCUCCUGGGCGGUCUAUCGCAGCAUGUUGCUCUACGUCUCCAAAGUCUUCCCCUUCUGUGUGUGUGUGUGUGUGUGUGUGUAAUUAAUGUGGUUGUGAUGAAGACACAUUGCUAUCAUCAUCGGUAUGCUCACUGUGCGAAAUCAAUGUUAAUGUGAAAAGAUAAUGUGUGUGUGAUGAGGGCUCAAGUCUUAUUUAUCAGUGAAUCAAAUGUAGUACAAUUUAUGUUCUGGUGUCCCAACAAUUGUCUGUUUGUCUGUCUGUCUGUCUGUCUGCUUGUGUGUGUGUGUGUGUUUUAAUAGAGAUCGAGGCAAUUCAGCCAUUGGACAAGUGGCCCAUGCACUAGACUGUGUGUGAGUGCUGAUUCUUUGUACUUGAUUUUGAAGCGAAGCCCUUGUCUCUCAAAGUGGCCCUUUAUGCUAGUUCUAAUCGACAAGUCUGGCUUCUGGGUGAAAGUGGCUGGCUGUUUACAUUCAAAACAAACAAAGAAUGAUUUCAUCAAAAAUGUGUGGGAUGCUUUAUAUUCAGUCUGAUCACCAAUUUAAUGCAAUAUUGGUCAAAUCUGUGACUGUGCUGUUUUGUACUCAAAUCAUGUAAUGUAAUUACUGUAGUUGCUAAAAAAAAUUAUAAUAAUUAUAAUUACUAGUAAUCACAAUGCAUCUGAACAUGUAUUUUUAUUUUCCUUUGACAUUUUUUACUGAUUUCUAUGUUACUGAACCACUAUGAUCCGUAAUGGUAGAUGCCUUACAUUUUUACAAUGCAUCCUGCCAUGCCUAGGGGAGCAGUGUGGAGACAUUGCUGAGUCUUGACACCACCAGGGUCUUUUACCUCCUCCAGCAAUGUAAUGUGCUGCUGAAAUCAUGUUUGUGGUGACCUAUUGACCCCUCAAGUCUUUGUCUUCAUCCGUUGAUGGCGCCAGGAUUUUUAAUAAAUGUUGAUUUGUUUAAGCCUGGUCCUUACGAGGGAGUAGAAAUGUAUUUUGGUAACUCGUUUCAGUUUGUUGAAACCAUAGCAUCAAGAGGAAAAAAAGAAAAACAUGUCUGAGAAUCUUUGAACAAAUGUUGUCCUGUCAAAUGUUCUUUGUUUGUGAAAAGACGUUGGGUUCCAUUUGUUCUCCUUUGUCAAAUCUUCAAAAUAAAAUUUUAAAGAUGAUUUUCCAUA